UGGAAUGACAGUAAAAUUGCAUGAUGUCAAAUAUUAAAUUCCUAGUGAUAUAAUAUAAUUUGUGGUGCAUAUAGACUAAUAUAUUUACAUUGUUAAAGGUGCAUACAGUGCCGAUGGUACAUAUAUUUUUAUACAUUAAAAAGGUGAUAUUACAUACAUAUGUGCUGGAAUAGAUAUCCUUAUUGGGUAUUUUCCCAAAAGGUGGUUAAAUC